ACAGCCAGGCUGCGGACUUCGCCAUGACGCUCGGCGAGUUCUACUGCAAGGGCUUGAACGCGCCGGUUGUGGUCGAGAUCAAGCGUGACGACGUGGUGUUCGCACGGGUCUACGACAUCCGCGGCAAGAGCAUCGCCAGNAUUCCGGCACCCUGAUCCCUCCCCCCUUUUAGGUUCGCGGCAUGGCGCCUCUGCGGACGCC
rnacentral:misc_RNA from 1 species